rnacentral:rRNA from 1 species
GACAGAGGCCCCAAGCGUUAGGCGGAAUCACUGGGCUUAAAGCGUGUGUAGGCGGAUCGUUAAGUGUCUUGUGAAAUCCCACGGCUCACCCGUGGAACGGCUGGGCAUACUGGCGAUCUUGGGCCAACUAGGGGCAGUCGGAACAAGCGGUGGAGCGGUGAAAUGCGUAGAUAUCAGGAGGAACACCGGUGGUGUAGACGGCUUUCUGGACCGUAACUGACGCUGAGACACGAAAGCGUGGGUAGCAAACAGG